rnacentral:rRNA from 1 species
UACGGGGGGGGCAAGCGUUGUUCGGAAUUACUGGGCGUAAAGGGCUCGUAGGUGGCCAACUAAGCCAGACGUGAAAUCCCUCAGCUUAACUGGGGAACUGCGUCUGAUACUGGAUGGCUUGAGUUUGGGAGAGGGAUGCGGAAUUCCAGGUGUAGCGGUGAAAUGCGUAGAUAUCUGGAGGAACACCGGUGGCGAAGGCGGCAUCCUGGACCAAUACUGACACUGAGGAGCGAAAGCCAGGGGAGCAAACGGG